rnacentral:rRNA from 1 species
UACGUAGGGUCCAAGCGUUAAUCGGAAUUACUGGGCGUAAAGCGUGCGCAGGCGGUUCGUUAAGUCAGCUGUGAAAGCCCCGGGCUCAACCUGGGAAUUGCGGUUGAAACUGGCGAACUAGAAUCUGGCAGAGGGGGGUGGAAUUCCACGUGUAGCAGUGAAAUGCGUAGAGAUGUGGAGGAACACCGAUGGCGAAGGCAGCCCCCUGGGCUGAGAUUGACGCUCAGGCACGAAAGCGUGGGGAGCAAACAGG